ACAUGUCUUCAACAACUGCAGCCACCUCGGUAGCUCGCUAGCCAACAAAGUCGGAACUUUCAAGUUCUUUAGACAAUUUCGUGGUUUAAUUGCCACUAUGAUUUAAACAUACUUAUGUGGAAACAACUAGCUAUCCCAUUUAAUUUAUUAUGUACGGUCUAAAUCAACUAGCUGGUUAAGUUAGUUAGCACUAGUCCGUGAGUUCACUAAACUACUCUCCUGCUAAAGAAGAGAAGGUCUGCUGGACAGAGAGAAGCUUUCGUGAAAGAGGAGGUUACCGUGAAAGAAGAAGAGAAAGACGUUACAGAGAAAGACGCCUUCAGAGUGAAAGAGGAGGAGGAUGUUACUGUGAAAGAAAAGGAGGAAGAUGCAGUUUUUGGAGUGGAGGAUGAAGUGAAAGAAAAUAAAGACGUUUUUGGAAUGAAGGAUGAGGAGGGGGAGAUUACUGUCACAUUAGAGGAGGACGAAGAAGAGAAGACUGGAGAUCUGAUUAACACCAGUAAAUUCAGAGAGAGACGUGACUAUCGUGGAUCCUCUGGAGAGCCUCAACAACCUCAUGAUGCUGACAAGGCAGAGAAGAGUCUCUCCACAUCAAAACUCCUCAAGAAACACCAGUAAAGACCCGCAGGGAAGAUAACUCACCACUGCUCUGAUUGUGGGAAGAGAUUCACCUCAUCAGCAGGCAUUAAAAUUCAUCAGAGAAUCCACACAGUAGAGAAACCUUUUUGCUGUAUUCAAUGUGGGAAGAGUUUUGAUACAUCUAGCCAUCUUAUUGUACACCAAAUAACACACACAGGAUAGAAAUCUUAUAGCUGUGAUCAAUGUGGGAUGAGUUUUACUCACCUAAGCAGCCUGAUAUCACACCAGAGAAUACACACAGGAGAGAAAUCAUAUAUAGCUGUGAUGAAUGUGGCAAGAGUUUUACUAAUUCGAGCAAUCUGACUCUUCAGAGAACACACACAGGAGAGAAACAUUAUAGCUGUACUCAAUGUGGGAAUAGUUUUACUAAUUCAACCAGCCUGAUAUUACACCAGAGAACACACACAGGAGAUAAAUAUAUCUGUUAUCAAUGUGGGAAUAGUUUUACUCAUCUAAGCAGCCUGAUAUCACACCAGAGAACACACACAGGAGAGAAACCAUAUGGCUGUACUCGAUGUGGGAAGCUUUAAAUUUUUUAAAUUUUUUUAACAUCUAGCCAUCUGAAGAUACACCAGAGAACACACACGAGAGAAAUCUCAUGGCUGUGACCAGACAUAAUCUGAUAAAAGAUCUCUUAUCAAAUAUCAGAAAAUACAUACAUGAAGGACUUGUUUCAUGAUAUCAAUGAAAUAAUGUCACAUUGUAGAAUGUUUUAACAUUGUAGUAGGAGUAUUUUAUUGAUGUCACAAUGUAGAAACCUAAACGUUUGUCCCCUGUUCCAUUGAUUUCAACAUGAUAUGGAUAUUAACCUCAGGGGAAAAAUUCAGGCUCUGAAUUGGAAGAGUAUUAUUUAUAAUUUAACAAAAAGUGACUAACAAAAAAAGAGUGGUUACACUUACCACAUUGGUGACCCACUUGAAUCAAAAUGCAACACUUCAAAAUGUGGUGAGCUGUUUUCUUCAAAUUAUCCUCUAACCAGGGAUGUACACAUUACUCCCGGAUUCCGUGUGGUUUUUGAGCUGUUAAUUUUAACAGGACAUGCAACCUCAUCUCCCACCUCUCGCACAAAUGAUUUUAGCAUGAUAUCGAUGAGUUAUGACAAAUAAGUGUUGCGUUCCUUUGUUUAGUAACCCCUAAAUUUAAACGCAUCACUCCCAAAUGUAGCUGACUGUCUUCUGCAGGUUGUCCUCUAACCAGUGAGGUAAAAGAUAUCUCCCAUUUCAGUUUUUUUUAGUUGUGUUAGUUUCAAUAGCAUAUACAUCCUGAUUCCCCCAUUGAUAAUUGUUGCAGAUGUUUGUGUAUAGAUACAUGUUUUAUAAUUCCAUGCCUCACCAUUAAGUGAAUUAUUGCCAAUAUUAACAUUUGAUUUUCAUUUUAACAAUUUAUGUAACAUUUAGUAUUCAUAAUUAUUUAUGCAACCAACAGACCAUUUUUUGGUACAAUUAUAUUGACGUUGUUGCCCUGCUUCUAGAAUAUCAGGGUUCAUUCUCAGAUGUGCGAACCCAAAUGUACUAGAGCGUGACAUUGGGGACUGGGCCCCGAUCCAACAACAUGCCUAUCGAGUGAACCCUGAAAAGAGAGAAGCUCCGCAGUGAGGUGGAAAGUUACUACGGAUAUUGCAGGAGUUUCCUCUUGAAAUCAGACAUGUUCAUUUUAAGGAAAACUUGCUGAUUGUCUCACGAGUGGGCACUCUAAAUGUUUGUGUUUUGCGUUUAGCCAGUGAGUUGCCAUGGAUCACAAUUUAUUUUGACUGCACGUUUUUCCGUAUUGGAGAUGAGUUUUGUUUGGGCUCGUUCCAAGGGGACUAGAGUUCUAGAAGUUGGUGAGUUUUAGGAAGAUCAGGGUGCUCCACCUUUUUGUUUUGCUUCCUGUCUUUAAGUUUGGUGUGGGUUUUUCUUUAGUUUUCCUCUUCUUGGGCAGAUUAUGUGGGUCUCAUGGUGGGUGUCUUUUAGGUCCCAGUUGUUGUUACUAGUCAAUUUUCAGUGGACACCCCCAUAGUGACUUUCAGAGCCCCUCCUAAUAAAACAAGCUUGUAUUUUGGAUUGGAUUUUUCCAUCCAAUUAAUAUUUUAAUAAAUGGCAUUUCCUUAGGGUGCUCAUUAGUCUUUCA